rnacentral:rRNA from 1 species
UACGUAGGCAGCGAGCGUUGUUCGGAGUUACUGGGCGUAAAGGGUGUGUAGGCGGUUGUUUAAGUUUGGGGGGAAAUCUCCCGGCUCAACUGGGAGGGUGCGCCGAAUACUGAAUGACUUCGAGUGCGGGAGAGGAGAGUGGAAUUCCUGGUGUAGCGGUGAAAUGCGCAGAUAUCAGGAAGAACACCCGUGGCGAAGGCGGCUCUCUGGGACGGUACUGACGCUGAGACGCGAAAGCGUGGGGAGCGAACAGG